UUUUGUUAGUUUAGGGUUAUUUUGUGCCAGUUUUGGGUCACUUUGUGCCCUUUUCCCCUGUCCAGGGCCCCCUCUGUCAAGCGCCGCCUGUGCCGCGGCUGCUGCUCCCUGCAGGCGCCGGGCGGGGGCGGCAGCGCGCGCCUGCGAGGGCGUGGCCAGCCCCGCCUCGUCCUGCGCUGCCUCACCUGCGGCCGCCGCCGGCGCUUCCUGUGCCCGCCUGAGCCACGCCCACCCCGGCCACACCCACCCGGGCAGGACACGCCCACAGGCCCCGCCCCCGCGCUCUGAUUGGCCGCUCAGCUCUGCAGAAAUAAACCCUUUAUUCCAUAUA